CAGGGAGACAAAAACUGAUCGUUAUGUCUGAGUGAAAAUACUCUCAGGCCACGAUCCUGUCACCUUAGGUCGAUCGGUACCUCAGAUUGAUAGCCUUAAAAAUUGCUGUAAAAGGCUUUUUGGUUAUUCAAUUUCAGUUCCUAAACUUUGUCUAGGUCACACCCCAUAAGGGUUACUCCUGGGCCAUUAGCUCAGGUGGUUAGAGCGCACCCCUGAUAAGGGUGAGGUCCCUGGUUCAAGUCCAGGAUGGCCCAUUCGGUGUUGGGGGUUUAGCUCAGUUGGUAGAGCGCCUGCUUUGCAAGCAGGAUGUCAGCGGUUCGAGUCCGCUAACCUCCACUGGCCAACCUCCUGCAACGGCCAAAUUUUGAGAGCCAUUGUGAAAUGUGAUCUAGAGUUGUUUUAACUGACAAGAACCUAGCUUCUUUUCAUUCCUAAUCUUAAUUAAUUAAGAAGAGGUUGAAAUGAUGCUGGGCUCCCUGUUUUUCGAAAGAAUCACAGAGAUCUUCAGUUGAACCUUGACAACUGCAUAGGUGAGUCUGGAAAGAAUAAAGCAUCUCAUGGAUGCAUUUUUCUUUUGAUUUCUUUUGAGCUGUUUGAUCAGCUUUAUUAGAUUAAUUGGAAGUUAAGUGUUUAAUUCUUGAGUCAAGAGCUGAGACUCUAUAACGUUUCUUUUCCCCAAUAUGUGGGUGAAGAGUUAGAUCAAUUAUUUAAACCUAGUCUUAUUGAUUUUACUUGGUUAAUACUUAAGUAUUUGAGAUUCGCUAGGAGAAUAUUGAGAAUUCGUUUUCAACGACGUUAAUCGUUAUAGAGAUUUAU
rnacentral:tRNA from 1 species